rnacentral:misc_RNA from 1 species
GUUAGACAUCAGGUUCACCUCAAUAUUCAAAACUUAUAAAUCCUUUAAUACCAUUUCCUCUUCCCCUUUCUCUUUUCACUCCUACUAAUUUAUUACACUUUUGUAUUAGGAUUUGAUGCUCUACGUUGGUAAUUACCAAACUAUUUUAAUCGACUCUUGCUCAUUUUAUUUCUAAUAUGUGCUACAUAUAUUCUCUAACUGA